rnacentral:rRNA from 1 species
GACGAACGCUGGCGGCGUGCUUAACACAUGCAAGUGGAGCGACGAACCGGGGCUUGCCCCGGGGCAGAGCCGCGAACGGGUGAGUAACACGUGGGUAACCCACCCCGAUGACCGGGACAACCCGAGGAAACUCGGGCUAAUACCGGAUGUGCUCCUGGACCACGAGGUCCAGGCGUAAAGAUAGCUUCGGCCUUCGCAUCGGGACGGGCCCGCGGCCCAUUAGCUUGUUGGUGAGGUAACGGCUCACCAAGGCGACGAUGGGUAGCUGGUCUGAGAGGACGAUCAGCCACACUGGGACUGAGACACGGCCCAGACUCCUACGGGAGGCAGCAGUGGGGAAUCUUGCACAAUGCGCGAAAGCGUGACGCAGCAACGCCGCGUGGGGGAAGAAGGCCUUCGGGUUGUAAACCCCUUUCAGUUGGGACGAAGCUCCGUCGGUGAAUAGCCGGCUGGAGUGACGGUACCUUCACAAGAAGCCCCGGCUAACUACGUGCCAGCCGCCGCCGUAACAC